rnacentral:rRNA from 1 species
GACGAACGCUGGCGGCGUGCCUAACACAUGCAAGUCGAGCGAGUGGAUCUCCUUCGGGAGUGAAGCUAGCGGCGGACGGGUGAGUAACACGUGGGCAACCUGCCUCAUAGAGGGGAAUAGCCUUUCGAAAGGAAGAUUAAUACCGCAUAAGAUUGUAGCUUCGCAUGAAGUAGCAAUUAAAGGAGCAAUCCGCUAUGAGAUGGGCCCGCGGCGCAUUAGCGAGUUGGUGAGGUAACGGCUCACCAAGGCGACGAUGCGUAGCCGACCUGAGAGGGUGAUCGGCCACAUUGGGACUGAGACACGGCCAAGACUCCUACGGGAGGCAGCAGUGGGGAAUAUUGCACAAUGGGGGAAACCCUGAUGCAGCAACGCCGCGUGAGUGAUGACGGCCUUCGGGUUGUAAAGCUCUGUCUUCAGGGACGAUAAUGACGGUACCUGAGGAGGAAGCCACGGCUAACUACGUGCCAGCAGCCGCCGUAA